rnacentral:lncRNA from 1 species
GGCCCUGCCAGUGUCUCCGCCGGUUGAAAGCGCGUGUCUGCGUCGGGUUCUGUUGGAGUGCGUUCGGUGCGCCGUGGGUCCGCGCUGCUUCCACCCAACUUCCUGUUAGUUUCUCUCCUGUCACAAUGGCAUGAUCUCGGCUCACUGCGACCUCUGCUUCCUGGGUUCAAGGAUUCUCCUGCCUCAGCCUCCCAAGUAGCUGGGAUUACAGGAAUCUCACCAGUGACACGCGUUUGUGAAAAGCUGUGAAUAUUCAGUGCCACAGGGUUAAACCUCGGUACAGAAGCGAGACCCUGCUGGGCAGAGAAAGGGUGACCUGGAAGGUGUGUGAGGGCCCCGCCCAUGGGCCCCUGUGAUGGUCAUGGCCUCAAGAAUCACAGUCCAGGUGAGGCCCUGAAUAUCCACAGCCAGGACCAGUUCCCUCUGCUCUUGGGUGCCAAGGCCACCGUCAGCCAGGAGAGGCCUGCAGAAUCAGCCUGUGCACCUCUCUGACGAUAAGCAGAGAUGCUGGUUUAGAGACUUGCUACUCACGGGGAAGUCCUUGGGCCUCCUGUACUCACAUUACCUGGAACUUCUUGGAAAUUCAGAAUCUCAGGCCCCAACCCAGACGGACUGAAUCAAAAUCUUCAUUGUGGUAAGACCCUCGGUGACACACAGGCCUGGGAAGCACAGGUUAGCGUGUCACCUUGGGCAAAGCUCUCAGCAUUGUGAGCCUCUGUUUUCUACUCUGUAAAGGAGGCAUGAAUAUCU